AGUAGUGGCGGACGGGUGAGUAACGCGUGGGUAACCUGCCUUACACAGGGGGAUAACACCUGGAAACAGGUGCUAAUACCGCAUAAGCGCACAGGGCCGCAUGGCCCGGUGUGAAAAACUCCGGUGGUGUAAGAUGGACCCGCGUCUGAUUAGCUUGUUGGCGGGGUAGGGGCCCACCAAGGCGACGAUCAGUAGCCGGCCUGAGAGGGUGGACGGCCACAUUGGGACUGAGACACGGCCCAAACUCCUACGGGAGGCAGCAG
rnacentral:rRNA from 1 species